rnacentral:rRNA from 1 species
GCAAUUAGUGGGAUAGCCAUGCUAGUCGUACGACCAGAACCAUGUCUGGUAGUGGCGUACUGCUCAGUAACACGUUGCUAACUUACCCUUAGGACGGGUGCAACCCCGAGAAAUUGGGGCUAAUCCCCGAUAGGUGUGGUGUCCUGGAAUGGUAUCACGCCUAAAGGUCCCAACAGCAUGUUGUUGUUACGCCUAAGGAUGGGGCUGCGGCCGAUCAGGCAGUUGGUGAGGUAAUGGCUCACCAAACCUUUGACCGGUACGGGCCAUGAGAGUGGUAGCCCGGAGAUGGAUACUGAGACAAGGAUCCAGGCCCUACGGGGCGCAGCAGGCGCGAAACCUCCUCAAUGCACUGAAGUGUGAAGGGGUUACCUCGAGUGCCGUCUGAAGAAGGCGGCUUUUCCUUGGUCUAAAAAGCCUUGGGAAUAAGAGGGGGGCAAGACUGGUGUCAGCCGCCGCGGUAACACCAGCCCCUCGAGUGGUGGGGAUGAUUAUUUGACCUAAAGCGUCCGUAGCCGGCCGAGUAAGUUUCCCGUUAAAUCCAGCGUCUCAAGCGUUGGGCUGCGGGAAAUACUGCCCGGCUAGAGAGUGGGAGAGGAAAGCGGUAUUCUGGGGGUAGGGGCGAAAUCCUUUGAUCCCCGGAGGACCACCAGUGGCGAAGGCUGCUUUCUAGAACGGGUCCGACGGUGAGGGACGAAAGCUAGGGGAGCAAACCGGAUUAGAUACCCGGGUAGUCCUAGCUGUAAACGAUGCUCGCUAGGUGUCAGGCACGGUGCGACCGUGUCCGGUGCCGCAGGGAAGCCGUGAAGCGAGCCACCUGGGGAAGUACGGUCGCAAGGCUGAAACUUAAAGGAAUUGGCGGGGGAGCACUACAACGGGUGGAGCCUGCGGUUUAAUUGGAGUCAACGCCGGG